UCCACGCCCUAAACGAUGUACACUAGUUGUUGCCAUGCUAGUCAUGGCAGUAAUGCAGCUAACGCAUUAAGUGUACCGCCUGGGGAGUACGGUCGCAAGAUUAAAACUCAAAGGAAUAGACGGGGACCCGCACAAGCGGUGGAGCAUGUGGUUUAAUUCGAAAAUACGCGAAGAACCUUACCUAGGCUUGACAUUGAAGAAACAGAGUAGAGAUACACUGGUGCCCUUCGGGG
rnacentral:rRNA from 1 species